AAUUCUCAAACUCUGAUUGAUUUGUUUCAAUCGGAGCUUUGGAUUUGGAGCGUGCCGGCGUCAAGUCGGCUCCUCUUGAAUGCAUCAGCGGAAUCCCAUUCAUUUCGGACGUCAGUGUGAUAAUCAUGUUGCGCUGUCUUUGCGAUCUUGAAAGCCCGCUCACAAUGGUCUUCGGACAAACCUCACAUAUCAU
rnacentral:misc_RNA from 1 species